AACCUAAUCAAUUCUACCACCAUUUUUUUUGUGAACUUUAUUGCUAAUACAUGUAUUUUUUCUUCUGUUUUUUUUUUUUUUUUUUAGAAAGGCAUGUAUAUCCCGAAGCUCCCCCUCACUUAAGAAUUAUAGACUCCAAGCUCAGAAGGGAAUAGUCAAAAUUCUACGCCCGACCCAUAGUUAAGACUCAAGAAAUAAGCUAGUCUAAAUCUCGCCUCUAGAACAGUUAUAGUGUAACUACAACUUCCCGCACAAGCAAUUUCUAAGCAUGCAAGACAUCACAUAUGAUCAAGACUACUAACCAAGAAAUUAUGCAAAUAAG
rnacentral:lncRNA from 1 species